rnacentral:rRNA from 1 species
UUCGGCAAGCCGGAUUCGUAACUUCGGGAUAAGGAUUGGCUCUAUAGGCUGGGUGUCGCUGGGCUGGGUAAGGCUCGCGGGAUGUGCUUUAGUAAUGGCCGAGGCGCUUUCGGGUGCCGAGAGCGUGAACGGGCCGCUCGGGGCUGAAAACUAGAUCAUUGCGGAGGUUCGCCCGAGUGGUGAAAACCGGCACACCGCUAACAGCUAACGUAGAACUUACAAAGGCUAGGGGAAUCCAACUGUAUAAUUAAAACAUAGCGAUUUGUUGGUGCCAAAGCGUGUAAACGAAUCGUGAUUUCUGCCCAGUGCUCUGGAUGUUAAAAUGGCGAAAUCCAACCAAGCUCGGGUAAACGGCGGGAGUAACUAUGACUCUCUUAAGGUAGCCAAAUGCCUCGUCAU